rnacentral:rRNA from 1 species
CAGCAGCCGCGGUAAUUCGUAGGGUGCAAGCGUUAAUCGGAAUUACUGGGCGUAAAGCGUACGCAGGCGGCUUUGCAAGACAGGUGUGAAAUCCCCGGGCCUAACCUGGGAACUGCAUUUGUGACUGCAUGGCUAGAGUCUGUCAGAGGGGGGUGGAAUUCCACGUGUAGCAGUGAAAUGCGUAGAGAUGUGGAAGAACACCGAUGGCGAAGGCAGCCCCUGGGCCUGUACUGACGCUCAUGCACGAAAGCGUGGGGAGCAAACAGGAUUAGAUACCCUGGUAGUCCACGCCCUAAACGAUGUCAACUGGUUGUUGGGAAGGUUCCUUCUCAGUAACGUAGCUAACGCGUGAAGUUGACCGCCUGGGGAGUACGGCCGCAAGGUUGAAACUUAAAGGAAUUGACGG